rnacentral:tRNA from 1 species
UGAAGACGCCAGGGAUCGAACCUGGAAUCUCUUGAUUUUGAAUUUCAGGAUGAAUCCCUGGCAGGAUCAAGCUGGAAAUCGUAGUCAAGCGCCUUGCCAUUGGGCCACGCCUCC